GGGAUGUGGACCGGAGAAACUACAUGGUGGAGGCACAACAAAGCGUUCAAGCACGGCACCCCAUCGCAUGCAGCUGCAGAAGGGAUGAAGGUCAUCCACGAGGUGUCUCAAGGUGAACCCCGUGGUACCCGACCAAGUGGCUGGAGGGAAUGGUGUAUGCUCACAAGGUCCUUGGGGUUGGAUGCGGCAACUCGCGGCUCGAAGACAAUCUUUUGUGGUGGGGCGUCGCCGCCGCCGGCGGCACCUGCAUAGACCGUAUCGCUGGGAACGAAGAGAUGCUCCCCUGAUUUGGAGCUGUAGAAAGGAAGUGGUUGCAGACACAAAGUGGGGACACACAACUCCCAGUCAUAAUAUUCUUUAUCUUGGCUCGUUGUUUGGGGAUGGACGCAUCAAUCUGAUGGCGCUCUCCUCCAUGCCAAACGGAUCCUUGGUUUGGAGGCGCGCGGCGCCGACGAUGACAACCUUUCUAUCGACGCAAGGGCAGCAGGAGCUCAUGACGCUGUUGAUGCCACCACCAUGCAUGGGGUUGAUGCAAGGUGGGACAAUGCGAUCACUAAUGGGGAGAACAUAAAACUUCAAUUGAGGGCACUGUGAUUCUCUAGCUACAUGUAUCAUGUCCAAAAGAGAUCCUUAUUUCACCUUUGUUUAUAGGUAUUCAACGUGAGGAAUUUUAUACUUUUGGAGUGGAGCUAUCAAAUAUAUAUUAUGAGUUUCUAAAACAUCUAUUAUAAGGAGUUGAACAGAGUUUCCUCUGCCCCGGCAGA